rnacentral:rRNA from 1 species
UUGCCAGCCCGCUCAGAAACUCAAAUGAAUUGACGGGGGCCCGCACAAGCGGUGGAGCAUGUGGUUUAAUUCGAUGGUACGCGAGGAACCUUACCAGGGCUUGACAUACGUUGGAAGCGCAUCGAAAGGUGCGUGCCGCUUGCGGCCGGCGUACAGGUGCUGCAUGGCUGUCGUCAGCUCGUGCCGUGAGAUGUUGGGUUAAGUCCCGUAACGAGCGCAACCCUUGUCCUUAGUUACCAGCACGUUAUGGUGGGCACUCUAAGGAGACUGCCGGUGACAAACCGGAGGAAGGUGGGGAUGACGUCAAGUCAUCAUGGCCCUUACGGCCUGGGCUACACACGUGCUACAAUGGUCGGUACAAAGGGUUGCCAAGCCGCGAGGUGGAGCUAAUCCCAUAAAACCGAUCGUAGUCCGGAUCGCAGUCUGCAACUCGACUGCGUGAAGUCGGAAUCGCUAGUAAUCGUGAAUCAGAAUGUCACGGUGAAUACGUUCCCGGGCCUU